rnacentral:lncRNA from 1 species
AUGAAUGAGAAACACCUGUUCUAAAUGAUGAAUGAAGUGCUGGUACCUGAGUUGCUAUGGUUUCUUCUAGUUCAUUUUUUUGUUCUGGUAGCAUACAGAUUAAAAAUUAGAUAAGGGAUGAAAUUAUUUUCUACUAAAUUUUAUCAAAAAUUUGAAACACAGUUAUAUAAUAGAAGUGACCCCGUGUGUGGCUGCUCUACCCUGGGCAUGCUCUUUCUGUAAAUAUAACUUUUAUUUCAUUGGUAGAUUGGGUGAAAUUCGUAAUUUAGUUUUUUCUAGAGAUGUAUCUACCAAAAUCUCUUAACAAUUCCUAGUUUUCUUUCCCAGCCUUCUUCUCUCCAGAUGUCUGUCACUUAAUUAUCUCCUGCUUUGAAGCCAUAUUAUGGUAUAAAUGGGAAAAUGUUUAGUUCCCCAAAAUAAAGGAAAGUUACUUUUUAGGGGGUUGAAGCAGAGUUUGAAGUAAAUGAGUUAAUAUUUUAAGUAAUAAAAUUUUACAUGAAAUAACUGGAAAAUUGAGUGACUGUGUCACAAUUUGUUAGAUA